GAUAAACCUAGGGAAAACAUCCUAAGUGGACUCUUCAGCUCUGUAGCAAACUGUUUUGUAGAACUGUCAUUACCAGUCAAGUUACCUGGGAUUAUGUGCAAUGGAAAGCCCCAAAGGGAAGUGAGUCUUUAUGAGCAUAUCUGCAGCAGGCUGUGUGGUUUUGUGGGCAGCUUACCCGCCAGACAUUUCACUGUGU